CCAGAGGUUCUUGUGCCCCAUUCUUAACCUUUCUGGCUCAGCAGAAUGGAGAACCUCAACAUGAUCAAAAUCUCUUAACAAAAUUUUAAAAGUUGUUGCAUUUUUAAUUUUAUUUGGUUUAAUUUUUUAAAUAAACUGUUCUUUCAUCAUCAUCAUCAUCAUCAUCAAUGGUAGGCAGUCUACCAACAUGAAAACAUAAUGGUACAAUAAUAUUGAUUAAAAAGCAGAUAGCGUAAGGAGGGCCUGCCCCCAAAAUGGUCCAGUCAGUCAAUCAUGCCUUCCGUGAUACUCCAUUCUGUUUGCCCUCCUACAUCAUUUUUUGGGGUCACCCACACACCCCAAGUCAGUAUUCCAGGGCUAUUCAGCACAUUCAGUCCCUAUUAGGCUGUUUGGGACAUUUUGCCUUGGGAUCGCCAUGUCUAGCCCAGCACCCUGUUCUCACAGUGGCCAACCAGAUAAGCAGAGCCUGGUAGGUCCCUCUUCUGCUUGGUCCUGUUUGGGGGCUACGUAAAGGAACCAGAGAACUGAGAUGGCUUUCAAGGAUGGUGAAUCUGCCCUGCAGACCAAGAGCAUGGCCAGUGGUCAGGGAUGAUGGGAACUGGAGUCCAGAACCUUCUGGAGCUCCACAGUUACCCAUCUCUGAGAGAGGGAAAGGUAACAAAAGUUUAGAAAAUUAUAAUUGGCCAAGAACAGUAGAACACCUCUCAUCUAAUAAAACCAAAUGGCAAUAGGCUCCAGACAGAUGAGCUCUUCAGGCAACACCUAUUUACUUAUUUAUUAUCUUCGAUAGUUGUUCUUUGCCCAAAGGUGUCAUAGGUAAUUACAGGUAGUCCAUAAACAUUAUUGCACAUAAACAAGCCAGGAAGUAGUGACAAAGCUGUGCAGCAGUUCACUGAGGGAUAGGUAGACUCACAACCUGAACUUCCUGGUUUUGGCAGACUCUUUCCAUCCCAGGAUGUGAGAUCUGUCUGUUGUAAUCAGCUGG